GACGUAGGGCGCGAGCGUUGUCCGGAUUUAUUGGGCGUAAAGAGCUCGUAGGCGGCUUGUCGCGUCGUCCGUGAAAACCUGCGGCUCAACUGCAGGCUGGCGGUCGAUACGGGCAGGCUGGAGUUCGGUAGGGGAGACUGGAAUUCCUGGUGUAGCGGUGAAAUGCGCAGAUAUCAGGAGGAACACCCGGUGGCGAAGGCGGGUCUCUGGGGCCGAUACUGACGCUGAGGAGCGAAAGCGUGGGGAGCGAACAGG
rnacentral:rRNA from 1 species